GUGGGUGGCAAGCGUUGUCCGGAAUUAUUGGGCGUAAAGCGCGCGCAGGCGGUCCUUUAAGUCUGAUGUGAAAGCCCACGGGCUCAACCGUGGAGGGUCAUUGGAAACUGGGGGACUUGAGUACAGAAGAGGAAAGCGGAAUUCCAAGUGUAGCGGUGAAAUGCGUAGAGAUUUGGAGGAACACCAGUGGCGAAGGCGGCUUUCUGGUCUGUAACUGACGCUGAGGCGCGAAAGCGUGGGGAGCAAACAGGAUUAGAUACCCUGGUAGUCCACGCCGUAAACGAUGAGUGCUAAGUGUUAGGGGGUUUCCGCCCCUUAGUGCAGCAGCUAACGCAUUAAGCACUCCGCCUGGGGAGUACGGCCGCAAAGGCUGA
rnacentral:rRNA from 1 species